rnacentral:rRNA from 1 species
GUGUACAGCCACACCAUCCUGCAUGUGCCCCGUCUCAUCUGAUCACUGAAGCUAAACAGGGUCAGGCCUGGUUAGUACUUGGAUGGGAGAAAUUCAGUAACAUGCACAUU